rnacentral:rRNA from 1 species
CGGGGGAUUUUGCACAAUGGGCGCAAGCCUGAUGCAGCGACGCCGCGUGAGGGAUGAAGGCCUUCGGGUUGUAAACCUCUUUCGCUGGGUUGAAAGGCCAUGCUUUGGGUGUGGUUGAUUUGAACUGGUAAAGAAGUACCGGCUAACUACGUGCCAGCAGCCGCGGUAAUACGUAGGGUACUAGCGUUGUCCGGAUUUAUUGGGCGUAAAGGGCUUGUAGGUGGUUUGUCGCGUCUGUCGUGAAAUCCUGUGGCUUAACCAUGGGCUUGCGGUGGGUACGGGCAGGCUUGAGUGCGGUAGGGGAGACUGGAAUUCCUGGUGUAGCGGUGGAAUGCGCAGAUAUCAGGAGGAACACCGGUGGAGAAGGCGGGUCUCUGGGCCGUUACUGACACUGAGGAGCGAAAGCGUGGGGAGCGAACAGG